rnacentral:tRNA from 1 species
GGGGAUGUAGCUCAGUGGUAGAGCGUGUGCUUUGCAACGGAUCAACAUUGAAUUUUAAAAAAAAAUCGUUUGAUUUGCAAGAUUGUAUAAGGUCGAGGGUUCAAACCCCUCCAUCUCCA